UUUGUGGAGGGUUCGAUUCUGGCUCAGGAUGAACGCUGGCGGCGUGCUUAACACAUGCAAGUCGAACGGGAUCCCAGGAGCUUGCUCCUGGGUGAGAGUGGCGAACGGGUGAGUAAUGCGUGACCGACCUGCCCCAUNCACCGGAAUAGCUCCUGGAAACGGGUGGUAAUGCCGGAUGCUCCGACUCCUCGCAUGGGGUGUCGGGAAAGAUUAUAUCGGUAUGGGAUGGGGUCGCGUCCUAUCAGCUUGAUGGCGGGGUAACGGCCCACCAUGGCUUCGACGGGUAGCCGGCCUGAGAGGGCGACCGGCCACAUUGGGACUGAGAUACGGCCCAGACUCCUACGGGAGGCAGCAGUGGGGAAUAUUGCACAAUGGGCGCAAGCCUGAUGCAGCGACGCCGCGUGCGGGAUGACGGCCUUCGGGUUGUAAACCGCUUUUGAUCGGGAGCAAGCCUUCGGGUGAGUGUACCUUUCGAAUAAGCACCGGCU
rnacentral:rRNA from 1 species